UACGGGGGGGGCAAGCGUUGUUCGGAAUUACUGGGCGUAAAGGGCUCGUAGGCGGCCAACUAAGUCAGACGUGAAAGCCCCCGGCUCAACCGGGGAGGGUGGUGCCGAACUGGACUUCUUGAGGGCGAUAGAGGAGAGUGGAAUUCCGGGUGUAGCGGUGAAAUGCGUAGAGAUCCGGAGGAACACCAGUGGCGCAGGCGGCUCUCUGGGUCGGCCCUGACGCUGAGGCGCGAAAGCGUGGGGAGCGAACGGG
rnacentral:rRNA from 1 species